rnacentral:rRNA from 1 species
UACGUAGGGCGCAAGCGUUGUCCGGAAUUAUUGGGCGUAAAGAGCUCGUAGGUGGCGUGUCGCGUCUGCCGUGAAAGCCCAUGGCUUAACUGUGGGUCUGCGGUGGAUACGGGCAGGCUGGAGGCUGGUAGGGGCAAGCGGAAUUCCAGGUGUAGCGGUGAAAUGCGUAGAUAUCUGGAGGAACACCGGUGGCGAAGGCGGCAUCCUGGACCGAUAUUGACGCUGAGGAGCGAAAGCCAGGGGAGCAAACGGG